UGCAGUGUCCUGACUAUUGUACCAUGUAGUUUGGUGCCAAGUUAAACACAGACGAUGAAGUAAAUGACUUGCGAUUUCACUUAGGGGCUCAGUCAGGCACCUUGGUGUAAUGGCUUUGAUUGUACAGCUGCAAGGUUGUCCAGCUCUGGCGAAUCCCUACACAUUUGAAACAGUAGGAACAGUAUUUUAAAGGUGAAUGUGAAAAUGAGAAUGCAGUUGAUUGUGGUGCCAGAUGCAGAGGUCACAAGAAGAUGCAGGACCAGAACAGCCUGUUUAUCUGGUGGACCGUCCUGGCCGUCUAUUCAUUGCAGAAUGACAUGAUUAUCUACAGGGCUAUAGGCAUCUGCGUCUGAGGCAAUACUAAUAAACAAUACUAAGUAUGCUUGGUAUUACUUGCUGUGUUAGGCCUCUGAGAUGCCCAUGGUAUAAUCUUCAGUAUCGAAGUCUAUUUCAUCACUUUGCAAAAUAGACUUUGAUGACACUGGAGUUAACAUUCCAUGUUUUUUAAUGAGUAAACAUUCUUAGGUCAAUAAAGAA